UUUAAGUUAAUUACAUUUUAAAUUUUUAACGAUUUAUGAAAUCAAAAUAAUUUUAGAACUUUACAUUGAAACAAUUCGUUUUACGAAAACACGUUCGAUUGACUUUGGAAAACAAUCCUAACCGUUUUGGAUUCAAACAAACUUAAUUUUAAUCCUAGCCCAAAUUGGUGAAGCCCAAGAUAGAUAAACCCAUAAGUCUUUCCUCUCAUCUCCUUCAACUUCACGUGGAAAAGGAAAAAAAAAAACCCUCUAACCCACACCAAACAAGAAAAAUCACGUAUUGCUGUUUCACGUGAAAUUUCUCAAACCUCCUCCUUGCUUCAGCUUCCCGGAACCUCUGCGCCGUCACCUUCGGCCGCCUAACCACCGUCGGCGUUCCUCCCUUCUCCGUCGUUCCGCCGCGACCACCACCUCACGGCCUCCCUUGCCGCACCGCGCCGCCCAACUGUUGCAGCCUCCCUAUUCUUCCUGUCACGCACGCAGUCGCAGCCCCUUGCUUGCACAACCACCUCGGCGCGACUACCUUCAACCACCACCAUCAGCAAGCGUCGCCCAACCUCGGCGACCACCUGCACCGUCGUCGCGCAGCCCGCCGUCGGCCAGCUUCCCUCCUCUCUCCUUUGGCGGAGAAUUCUUUGUAGGCGACUUUUGAAUUAUUAAAGUGGUCUUGCAGUUUGUUUACACAAGUCUCUAAGGAUCAAUAAGCGUUGCCCAUCUACAGGUUUGAAGAUGAUGCAUCAUUGGGAUCGGGAUUAGAGAGCUUGUAGUUCUAUUCGUUUAAUUAAGUGAUUUAAUUUGUUAACUUGGAUUUGAAAUUUGUCGUACUAUUCGUAUUUCCUUAUUUCAUUUAAUUGGUUUUGGACCUAAUAUGUAAUAAGAUUACUUAUGAACCUAAAAGUUAGUUUUAUGUUUUCCGCUGCAAAAUUCUGAAUAAGCCGUACGUUUUCACA